rnacentral:rRNA from 1 species
UCCGGUUGAUCCUGCCGGACCCCACCGCUAUCGGGAUGGGACUAAGCCAUGCGAGUCGUGCGGCCCGGUCAGCGGGCAGCGGCGUACGGCUCCGUAAUACGUGGUCAACCUACUCGGGGCACCGGGAUACCCGCUGGGAAACUGCGGCUAAUCUCGGAUGGGCGAGGAGGCUUGGAACACCUUCUCGUCGAAAGGCCGGGUUAAUGAUGCUUAGCCCGGCGGCUCCGAAUGGGACCACGGCCGAUCAGGUUGUUGGUGAGGUAACGGCUCACCAAGCCUAAGACCGGUACGGGCCCUGAGAGGGGGAGCCCGGAGAUGGGUACUGAGACACGGACCCAGGCCCUAUGGGGCGCAGCAGGCGAGAAACCUUAGCAAUGUGCGAAAGCACGACUGGGUCAGUCCGAGUGAUUCCUGAUAAAGGAGUCUUUUGCUUGUCCUAAAAGCACAGGUGAAUAAGGGGUGGGCAAGUCUGGUGUCAGCCGCCGCGGUAAUACCAGCACCUCGAGUGGUCAGGACGUUUAUUGGGCCUAAAGCAUCCGUAGCCGGCUUUGCAAGUCUUCGGUUAAAUCCACCUGCUCAACAGAUGGGCCGCUGGAGAUACUACAGAGCUAGGGAGUGGGAGAGGCAGACGGUAUUCAGUGGGUAGGGGUAAAAUCCUCUGAUCCAUUGAGGACCACCAGUGGCGAAGGCGGUCUGCCAGAACACGUUCGACGGUGAGGGAUGAAAGCUGGGGGAGCAAACCGGAUUAGAUACCCGGGUAGUCCCAGCUGUAAACGAUGCAAACUCGGUGAUGCAUUGGCUUAUGGCCAAUGCAGUGCCGCAGGGAAGCCGUUAAGUUUGCCGCCUGGGAAGUACGGACGCAAGUCUGAAACUUAAAGGAAUUGGCGGGGGAGCACCACAAGGGGUGAAGCCUGCGGUUCAAUUGGAGUCAACGCCAGGAAUCUUACCCGGGGAGACAGCAGAAUGAAGGUCAAGCUGAAGACUUUACCAGACAAGCUGAGAGGAGGUGCAUGGCC